UUAGCACCUAAUCAUGUGAUGAUUCACCAUUUUGAGACUUGUGCCUCAACCCUUAGCCUUUAAGCCAAGACGACGACAUGACAUUUAAGGAAAGUUACUUUUUUGGUGCUUGUAUUAAAUUUAAACUGGAUAUAAAUAAUUUAAAAUAAAUAUCAUUAUCGUAUCUACAGGAACUGUGCAUGCUUCUAAAACCGAGUUGUCAUAUCUCAGAAAAGCAAAAUAGGUCCAUGCAGACCCUGGCCCAACCCAGCAGUUUCUCUACAGCUUUUAAAAUGGGCCCUUCAACUUUAGAGAACAAAUAACAACCCAUGUACCGAUUGCUAUAAUAAAAUGAAAAAUAUAACAAGAGAUUUUUAGAAUUUCUUUUCUCUUAUAAUUAAUGAAAUCCACUAAAUUUUAUAAUGCGAAAUCAAAUAAGUAAUAAUGAAGAUGGCAGCACGUCAUCAUUAUCCUUCCAAUAAAUUAACAAGUUUUGCUGAAUGCCACUGCAUAUUUUAUUGGUGUAAAUAAGAAGGCAAAUAUAAAAGACCUCACAGCCAAUGUAAUUAAUGAAUGCCAGCACAAUAAAGUGAAAGUCAAACAAUAAAGUUGUUGGGUCUAUAUAUGCCUCUUAUUUUUGUUUCUUUUUGAAGGCCUACCCGUAAGCACCCUCUAACUCUCUAGUUUGGGAAUCUGCAACAUGUGGAUCUUUGGGUGGAAAGGGGCUUCUGGGUUCUCAGCCUGUUCCACAGCUGAGCAAGUUUCACAAGGGAUUGAUGGAACUGGCCUCACUGCUAUUGUCACAGGAGCAUCAAGUGGUAUUGGUGUGGAGACAGCACGAGUUCUUGCUUUGCGUGGUGUCCAUGUGAUUAUGGCCGUAAGGAAUUUGGAGGCUGGUAAGAAUGUCAAAGAAACAAUACUCAAGGAAAUCCCCACUGCUAAGAUUGAUGUUAUGCACUUAGAUCUCAGCUCAAUGACAUCUGUCAGGAAAUUUGCUUCUGAAUAUAUAUCCUUGGGUCUUCCACUAAAUCUACUCGUGUAAGAAACUAAAUUGAACUAUUCAAGUUUAUUUAAAUCCUGCAUUAGUUUGUUAUAUAAUUCCCUCUUUUGUGUGUCUUGUUCACUGGUUUUAUAUGCACACAUAACCAUGAUUUUCUUUCUGUUGCUAGUUGAUUUUGUUGUGCUUUCACGUGAAAAUCUUUUGAAAUUGAACAAUAAGAGCUAAAGUUCUCUUCUAUUUGUUGGAAGUAACAAUGCAGGCAUCAUGGCAACUCCUUUCACGCUUUCUCAAGACAACAUAGAAAUACAGUUUGCAACAAACCAUGUAGGACAUUUUCUUUUGACGAAUCUUUUGCUGGAAACCAUGAAAAACACAGCACGUGAAAGCAAUCAAGAGGGAAGAAUUGUUAAUGUAUCAUCAGAAGGUCACCGGUUUGCAUACCAUGAAGGAAUUUGUUUUGAUAAAAUUAAUGAUGAAUCAGGGUACCACUUUGCUAGCACUCUUUGUGAAUCCUAUCUUUGAAUGCUGCUAAAUAAAACUGUAGCACAGACACAAGUGUGACAAGCCCAGAUACAGAUGUUGUAUAAUGCAUUUGUAUUAGUGGUAUUCUGUUUGUUUCUUAACUUUGCCCUCUUGUGCCUGUGAAUUUACAGAUACAACACUAUACGUGCUUAUGGACAAUCAAAGUUGGCUAACAUUUUGCAUGCUAAUGAGCUUUCAAGACAACUUAAGGUACUAAAGAUUCUAAACAUAAGUAGCUUCUACAUUAAUGAAAAGAUGUGGAAUAAGACAGAAUUGUAGAACCUUUAGUUUCUUUCAUGCGAUAUAGUGGUGGUGGAGUAUUCCUGGACAUGGUGAUUUCCUUUUUGGUCAAUUAACUUCCCAAUGAUCUAAAAUUUUCCGACAUAUUCAGUGAAUAUUGUUCUUAUAAAUGCGUCUGCUUGUCUAAUUACUAUGUAGUGCUACCAUGUGUGCUUAUAAUUUGUAGCGUGAUCACAACAGUUUGCUAACCUUUGUUGCCACUCCCAUUGGUGGGUACUUUUCAUAGUAAUCACAUCAAUUUCCCGGGAGUCUUUUAAGCCUUCCCCUACUUUUUUCUUGUACAGGAAGAUGGAGUAAAUAUAACUGCUAAUUCACUUCAUCCUGGAGCAAUCGAUACAAAUCUUCUGCGCCAUCACAGCAUUUUUAAUGGUAAUCCUUCAAGACAUCAACUCUUCUUUGGUUGUAUUCACUAAGAAACCAUUUUUUUCCUAUUGAAGCUAAUUGA
rnacentral:misc_RNA from 1 species